rnacentral:rRNA from 1 species
AGUGAACGCUGGCGGUAGGCCUAACACAUGCAAGUCGAACGGCAGCACAGUAAGAGCUUGCUCUUACGGGUGGCGAGUGGCGGACGGGUGAGGAAUACAUCGGAAUCUACUUUUUCGUGGGGGAUAACGUAGGGAAACUUACGCUAAUACCGCAUACGACCUACGGGUGAAAGCAGGGGAUCUUCGGACCUUGCGCGAUUGAAUGAGCGGAUGUCGGAUUAGCUAGUUGGCGGGGUAAAGGCCCACCAAGGCGACGAUCCGUAGCUGGUCUGAGAGGAUGGUAGGCCGCACUGGAACUGGGACACGGACCAGACUCCUACGGGAGGGAGCAGUGGGGAAUAUUGGACAAUGGGCGCAAGCCUGAUCCAGCCAUACCGCGUGGGUGAAGAAGGCCUUCGGGUUGGAAAGCCCUUUUGUUGGGAAAGAAAAGCAGCAGGUUAAUACCCCGCUGUUCUGACGGUACCCAAAGAAUAAGCACCGGCUAACUUCGUG